rnacentral:misc_RNA from 1 species
GACCUGUAGGUGAACCUGCAGGUGGAUCACUAACGACUUCCAAAACACAGUUGUUGUUUGCAAGACCUUCAACUGGAGUGAGCAAUCAAUUAACGAAACGCUGGCCCUCGGGUUUCAGUAUAUUAACGGCUUCUCUGAGUUUCUAUGGCAAGUUGAGCAGUUGUGUUUCACGACCGUGACUGCAGCGAUACUUGUCGACAGCGCUAACAGCCUAUGUUAGAAGCGAGAAUUGAAAACCCAACGUGGUGCUCAGAAUCAUUCAUUCUAAUUACAAUUUAUAAACAAAAGCAAUAAAGCUAUAUCGGUGGAUCACUUGGCUCGU